rnacentral:lncRNA from 1 species
AAUUAUUUUAUACAUUUCACUCUGCUUACAAAAAAAAACAAGAUAUGUUCGUGAGGCUAUUCGAACUUGAACUAACGUACCAUUUGAUAAAUUUAUACAACUAUUUCGUCAGUUCCAAUUUUGGACUUAGUAAAGUCAGAACACACUUCACCUAAGGGAUGUGGAAUCCUAGUAAGUUUUGUGUAAAUUAUGUUUCGAGCGUAUAUUUAAAAACUAUCGUUUCGAGUUUAUAUAUGUGCGUAUUUAAAAAAAAAAAUUUAAGGUGGGAAACAAAAUUGAAUUCAGGAAGAGAAAUUCACAUUUGCACGUGCUUAAAAAUGUCUUUGAAAUAACCUGUUUUUUUUUUGGGCAGGCAUGGUGAAGCCAGAGAGUGAGGAAACUGUGCAACCUGAAGGUUAUGGCGGUGGCCACGGAGGACAUGGUGGUUACGGAGGGGGAGGAGGCCACGGACAUGGAGGACACAACGGAGGAGGGGGCCACGGACUUGACGGAUACGGAGGAGGAAAUGGUGGUUACGGAGGUGGAGGACACUACGGAGGAGGUGGUGGAGGACACUACGGAGGAGGUGGUGGAGGACACUACGGAGGAGGUGGUGGAGGACACCACGGAGGAGGAGGCCACGGGCUUAACGAACCUGUUCAGACUCAGCCGGGUGUUUAAAACUAUAUCAUAUAUUCACCACCAUCCAUGAUUGCAUAUAUAUAUAUACACUUAUGUAUUAUGUGUAUGCUUAUAAAUAAACCAUGGUGAGUUUGUAACACAGUGCCUUCGGAAAUGUUUGGAAUAAAGUUCCAUUAUAAUCUGCGCUGUUUGCAUAAUAAAAUCGUUUGUAGGUCAUGUUACGCUCUUUCAGUUUUUUUUGUAAGAGUUUUAUUUCCUUAUUCAUAUUCUUAGGGUUAGUGAAAAAAAAGAUGGUAAACUGGCUAGGAAUUUUUUUCUUAAAAGAAAAGAUUACCAAAAACCUAGAGACUAUCGAGGUUUUGCAUACACCAACACUUACGAAGUUAAUUAAACAUAUGGAAGUGAUACGAGAUAUGGGAUCAAUUAAAACACAGCAGGGUGAUUUGUAAUCAAGAGUCUGUUGGAUCAACAAGUGUCUAUCGAACGCAGAUGGGUGAUCUAUAACCAGGUGUCUGUUGGAGCAACAAGCACCUGUGGAGAAUGGAGGAGUAACGUGCAUGGGAAGCAGCAAGCAUGGAAUAAAGAUGACGUGGCGAGCUGCUAUUGAUAUGAUUUAAUGGCGUAUCUUUCAGGAUAUUGACGAAUCAACAAAUAGAAGAUUCGGAGAUAUCUAGAUUAUGGAAACUAGGUCAGCCACGUGAUGUGUGGUUGGACCUAUAUAAGGCGGUCUAAGCGUUAGGCUUAGGUUAGCCGUUUUCCCCAUUUCUGUGAAUCACAAGAUCAAAAGCGGGAAAAGCUUGUUAGGGUUAUUGGUGAGUGAAUAGAGAGCAAAUCACAGCUAUUGUUGUGUCAGCGAGUUGGGUAGAUUAAGAAUUGGUCAGUGAUGAGUUAUGUCAACGUCGUGUAAAUCUGAUUAAAAAAAUCUGUUAGAUUGUUUAAGUGAUUCCUAAUAAAGAAAAGAGGUUUUUUUUCAAUUCUGUCUACAUCUACGUAAUAACAAUAACAAGAGCAAGAACAAAAGCUUUGGAUUAUAACAGAAAGUUCCAUAAGGAAUCUAUGAUAAUAAUUGAUUUGCAAUUAACAAAACCAUAGUUGCAAGUCUCACUUUCGCUUUCACAUUUGGUGGAGAUAAAACCUAUUUCUUUUCAUUACUCGGAGGUGGGUGUUUUGCUGAUUCUUUUACACGAUAUUAACAUUUUGUGGGUGCAUAAGUGACAGCUGAAUAUCUGAAUUCUUUCAAAUACGGAAAGCCCUUAGAGUAGUGGAACUUCGCUUGUAUUCGUUUUGGGUUCAGAUUGGCUGAUAUUUUAUAUUUUGUACUAAAUCUAUUUAAACUAGGCCUAAGGUUUAUAUCCGUUAUCCGCAGAUAUCCGUAUCCAUAUCCGGUUUUUGAUCCGAAAAAAAUGGAUAUCCGGCAAAACGGAUACGGAUACGGAUAGUAAAAUGACGGAUAUCCCGGAUACGGAUAUGGAUACGAAUAAUUCUAAAAUUUGGGCCGGAUAACGGAUAUCCGGCAAAAAAUAUAAUAACAAAUCUAUAUAUAAUAGCAAUCUAAUAAAUACGAUUUGCAUAUUUGAACGGUUGCGUCUUUUUAUCGCAACCUUUCGUUUAAAUCGGCUAUUUUCUUACAGUUAUUUUGGUUGCGUCUUUUUAUCGCAAUUUUCGUUUUAAUCGGUUAUUUUUUUACGGUUAUGUCGUUUCCAAUAAAUACCAUUUGCACAUCUGAACGGUUGCGUCUUUUUAUCGCAACUUUUCAUUUAAAUAUUGGCGGUUAUUUUUUCGGUUGUGUUUUCUUAUCGUAACUCUUCGUUAAAAUAUUGAAGGUUACUAUCUUUUGUUGACAGUUAUUUUUCAGUUAUGUUUUUUUAUCGCAAUUUUCCGAUAAAAUAUUGGCGGUUACUUUUUCGUUUAUGUCUUUUUCGUAAUUUUCCGUUAAAAUAUAGAAGGUUAUUUUUUUCUCGGUUGUGUCUUUUUAUCGCAACUUUCCGUUAAUAUAUUGACGGUUAUUUUCUCUCGGUUAUGUCUUUUUAUCGCAAUUCUUCGUUAAAAUAUUGACGUUUACUUUUUUCGUUGACAGAUAUUUUUUUUGGUUGUGUCUUUUCAUCGUAACUUUCCGUUAAAAUAUUGAUGGUUACUUUUUUCGUUUGUAUCUUUUUAUCACAACUUUCCUUAAAAAUAUCAACAGUUAUUUGUUCUCAGUUAUGUCUUUUUAUCGCAAAUUUCCGUUAAAAUAUUGACGGUUAUUUUUUCAAAGGUUCUGUCUUUUUAUCGCAACUCUUCGUUAAAAUAUUGACACUUAUUUAUUCUCGGUUGUGUUUUUUCUCGCAACUCUUUGUUAAAAUAUUGUCGGUUAUUUUUUCUCAGUUGUGUCUUUUUAUCGCAAUUAUUCGUUAAAAUAUUGACGGUUAUUUUUUUUGUUGACGGAUAUUUUUACGAUUGUGUUUUUAUCGUAAAUUUCCAUUAAAAUAUUGACGGUUACUUUUUCGUUUGUUUCUUUUUAUCGCAACUUUCCGUUAAAAUAUUGAUGGUUAUUUUUGCAGUUGUGUUUUUUAUCGCAAUUUUUGUAAAAUAUUGGCGGUUACCAUUUUCGUUUGUGUCUUUUUAUCGUAAUUUUCCAUUAAAUUAUUGACAGUUAUUUUUUCUCGGUUGUGUCUUUUAAUCGCAACUUUCUGUUAAAAUAUUGACGGUUAUUUUUUCUCGGUUGUGUCUUUUUAUCGUAACUCUCUGUUAAAAUAUUGGAUAUUACUUUUUUUGGUGACGAUUAUUUUUUCGGUUGUAUCUUUUUAUCUCAAUUUUCCAUUAAAAAUUGAGGAUUAAUUUUUUUGUUUGUGUCUUUUUAUCGCAACUCUUCGUUAAGAUAUUGACGGUUACUUUCUUCGUUGCCGGUUAUUUUUUUGGUUGCGUCUGUUUAUCAUAACUUAUGUUAAAAUAUUAACGGUUACUAUUUUUGUUUGUGUCUUUUUAUUGCAACUCUUCGUUAAGAUAUUAACGGUUACUUUUUUCGUUGCCAGUUAUUUUAUUGGUUGUGUCUUUUUGUCAUAACUUUAUGUUAAAAUAUUAACGGUUACUAUUUUUGUUUGUGUCUUUUUAUCGCAAAUUUUGGUUAAAAUAUUGACGGUUAUUUUUUCUAAGUUGUGUCUUUUUAUCGCAUUGUUUCGUUAAAAAUAUUGACAGUUAUUUUUUUGGGACAGUUCUAUUUGUUCAAUUAUAGUCAUAUUUUUUUAGUUUAUGGUUGUGUCUUUAUAGUUGCAUCUAUUCAUUUAAAUACGUCUCUAUACUAUAUUUAAUUGCAUUUUUUCAUCACAACUUUUUUGUAUGAAUAGUUGUCUAUUUAAAUGUUCAUAACUUUUGAACUCUAUAUAUUUGUCCUUCUUUCUAAAUAGUUCCCAAGUUUUGUUUUUUAACAUAGAUUUAUUGUUUCGUGAUGAAUCCAAAAAAAAAAAAAUCUGUAAAAUGGCUCUAAAUUCUUUAUUCUCUAAACUAUUUCUAAACAUAUAACAUUUUAAUAUUAAAGAAAUUCUUCUCAUUCUUGAUCUAACCAUUGUUUUUUAGAAUGAUUAUAAAAAUGGAGAAGUUUUAAUCAUCUUUACAUAUAAAAUUCUAAUGAAGACACCGACAAUUUUUUUCUUAGAAUUGGACGAAUUUUAUAGUAAAUUUUUUUUUAUUUUAACUAUUUUAUAUGAUAACAAUGAUGCUUUCUAUCUUAAAGAAAUAUAUAUGGGUUGUAUACAAGAAACUAUUAAUGUUGCGUUAAUACUAUUACAACUAGGAUAUGACCCGUGGUACACCGCGGGUUAAUUAUUUGAUUUUUUAAAUCAUUUUGUAAACUGAUGAAUUUGUUGUUUAUAAUAUUAUUUGUUGUAUACCGCGGAUCACAUGCGUUGUAACUAAAAAAUAAAAAUUUUAAGUUGUAUUUGUUUUGUUUAGUGUUUAAGAUUGUAUAAUUGUAUUUUGAUUUGUUAAUUCUAGGAUUUUACCCGUGGUAUAUUGUCCGUAUUAAUAUCGACCCAAACCCGUCUCACUAUAUAUUCCCGUCUUGUGAAUUAAACAUCAUUUUGUUAUUUUUUUAAUAACACUUUUAUUUAAAAGACAUAUAAUUCGAGUCAAUUUAAAAGUUUGUUUUCAAAUGGUUUCCAUAACAUAUAUAUAUUUUUAAAUUAGUGUGUGUUUUUGGACCAACCCGUAAAAACAAUUUAUAAUUUUAUCUUAAAAUACUAAAUAAUUGUAUUUUGAUUUGUUAAUUUUAGGAUUUCACCCGUAGUAUACGGUCCCGCUUUGGAUAAUUGUAGAAAUUAAGGAAAGUUCUAAAUGAUUCAAUUCCGGGUCAGAAAAAAAAAACGACCUAAUUAAAUACGCAAAUUUGUUCUUCAAAAAUGUUAAUAUAUAUUACACACAUACUUUUUUUCUUGAUUGAUUAAGUAAUAUAUGUCCGUUUCAAAAAAUUUGAAUCAUAGCAUAUGCAGGAAAAAAUCUAAGGUUUUAUUAACUACAUAUAUUUUAUAAUAAUUCAAAUAAUAUAAAUAUAAGAUCAAAUAAAAGUGAAAUGAGAAUCAUAUAUUUAUGUAUAAAUUAGGUAGAGAGGUUUUAGGAAAUUAGCUCAAAUUUGUUAUAUUAGCAUUAAAUCAUCAUAUUUGAUUUCCUUAUCUAUAAAAAUCGUAAAUAAUAUACCAUAAAUAAAGAGUUUAGAUAUAGUAAUUAAUUGAGAAAAUAUUUUAUAUAUUUUAGAUUUUAUUAAUUAAUUCCGUUUUUAAAUUUUGCCAAAAUUUAAGGAAAGAUCCGAUUGAGAUUUCCGGGUCAAAAUUGAAUCAAAAUCCAACCCGAUUAGGAUCCCUUAAAAGUGUUGCAAAAAUGUAUAGUAGAAGUCUAAAUAUGAGAUAACAUCCUCAUGUGACCCUUGUGAUUUUGCGUUUUAAAUGUGGUAAACGUCAAAUGAAUCGUUUCAAAUGUUAUAGUAAUCGAGAAAUCAUCUACAUUAUUAGGCAAAAAAGCAAUGAUUCCAAUUCGUCAAAUAUUUAUUCAAGGAAGAAGUUUUUUUACUCAGUUAAUUUAUCAAUAUAUAUAAAUAUAAUUUAUGAGAUCUUGUAAAAUGUAUAUUUUUUUGCAAUAGAUGUAAUUUAGGUCAAAUUUUAUAUUUUUGAACAUAUAUAAUAGAAUAAAUAUUAAUUUUAUAUUUAAAGAAUAGUGGACAAAAAAAAACACCAAUUUUUGGACGAAGUGUUUAGCCACCCAUAAGUCAUUCUGAGUACCGACUCCAUCCGAAUUUUUGGGUUUUGACCCGCUAGAAUUUUACAUCUCUAUAUUAUAACUCUUCGUUAUGUAUUUUGUCAUUUAUAAAUAAUUUUACAUUUCAAGAGUUUUUUUAAUCAAAAUUCUUCUUUUUUAAAUUUCUAUUCAUAAAUUUUUUUAACAUCUUCGAAAAAUAAUUACGAUAUAACUUUAAAAGAUAGUUAAUUUUAUGUAAUAAUUCAUAAAUUUGCAUAUAUUAUUACAAUAAUUUAAUACAUAAACACAAUCAAAUAUAUGUGUUGAAAAUGAGUUCCCCCGUGACAUAGCGGGGUUCAUAACCUAGUAAUAAUAAUAAUUAUAACUUAAAAGCCUUAUGACUCCAUUUCAAGUGUUAAAGCCCAAAAAAACUUGUAAGCCCAACUUUUUUAAUAUUGUUUUUAUUUUAUUUUCAAUGUUAAUAAAUAAAUCAUAUGACAAAAAAUAAAAAUAAAUUUCUAAUAAGAAUUUAAGAAAUUGAUUAAUGUUUUUUUUUUGUUAAAAACAUCACAUGAAUCUUUUAAACUUUUUGCUACUUUAAUAAAUUCUUUGUUUUUGUAAUGUUUUGUAUAUAUAAUUAACUUCUAGUUAUUUUAUGAAUUUUUUAAGCUUUAUAUGUAUGAUAUUAAUGAAUUUAGGAUUUUAAAACACUAUUUCCGGAUAUUCGCUUCAACGACAGAUCCGGAUACAGAUACUAAAUUGGCGGAUAAUAUGGAUACGGAUAUCUUAAAAAAACCGGAUAUCCUCCCCGUUUAAAGGCCUAAUUUAAACUAUCUAAAGUAUCUGAAAUACCCGAAAAAUCUAUACUUUUAUCCAGUCAUGCAAGUUCGGUUAACAGAAACCGAACUGAGCCAAUAUCUCAGUUUCUUGGUUUAUUUAGUUAUCAGACAAUACCACAUUAACCAAAUAAUUAUUUGGUUUAAUUCGGUUCACGGUUUAUUUUGGUUAUUGAAAUUCCGAAUUAAACCGAUAUUGGAUUAAAUUCAAUACACCUAGUUAAAUUAUGUAAAAUCAGUAAAAUCGGUUUGUUCGGUUAAUAUUGGUUAAUGGGUUUUCAAUUUAAUGUGCUAUAAUUGGUUUUGCCCCUGUCAAACAAAAAAAAAGUUUGGGCCAAUCCUUAUAAAGAAAAACGAAAAUUUGGCAGGUUGACAACAUUUUCUUUUAUGAAACGGUGCGUUUUGGAGCCUUCUUCUUCAACCUUUUUUUAUUUUUUAUUUUUUUUAUUUUUAUUUUUUUAUUUUAAUACCAGGAGGUUGUAAACCAAAACCUGUAAUCCUCUAGGCCCGAAACCACAGCAUGUAAUAUUAGUUUUAUCCCAAACGUCACUCGAACCGUCGACCUCUAAGCUUCGCCUACGAUCUUUACCAGUUGGUCUUCAACCUUGUCACAAGCCACAAAACUCUAAGCAGAGAAAACUUCUCGACGAGUUUUGAACAAAGAAAAAGAAGAUCUUGGUUGAUCGUUUAGUUCACAUGAAUUACCAAAAAUAUCGGAAAAAUUGUAAUUUUGGGUAUUUGGAUUAUUAAAAUAUAAAUAAUACUAAUAUUUUUUGGGUAUAUACUUACAUUUUUGUUAUGUUUGGAUACUUGUUCGAUUUCGUAUUCGAUAAGAUUCUUCACGUCUAGAUGUUUAGGUUAUGUUUCGGGUAUUUUGGCCUGUUCAUGCCUCUUUUUUUUGUUCAAGUUCGAUUAUUUUUUUUCGGUUAUAUUAUUUUGUUCAUGCUUCGAAAAUGUUUAAAAGAUCGCUGGUUUUAAAAAUGGUUAAUUAAAACAACUAACUUUUUGAUAGAAUAUCAAAUUUCCAUUUUUUUAAUUAUAAAUGUUUAUUGAUUAAACCAAAUUAAUAGCAUUGUUAAGCGGGUUGACAAAAAAAUAUUAGGUUUUCCGUCAAUCCUUAAUUAACUGUAUAUGUAAUCGAUGUAGUAAAUUUCCAUCCUAUUUUAUCCUAUAUACCAUACACAAAUUAGAAUCCUUUAAAUAAUACAUACAUGUGAUGGAUCACAACCGUAAUAGGAAAGACAGCAAAUGAGCCUCGCUUAUCCCUGUCCGUAAGAAACCGACAACCAAUUCCGAGUCCAACUCCAACUCCAUGCGUCUAAAAACGUAUUAUAGUAGCCCCCCACAACUCCGUUAGGGGUGCUGGCAAAAUUUCUCAUCCAAGAUCCAUCUUUCCCCAAUAGGACUCCUCCAGCCGCAAGCCCUAGAUUUCAAUGAGAGUUCCCAUCUGUUGUGAGCUUUAUCCAACCCUUAUUCGGUGGCGCCACUUGAUCACCGAAUUAAUUAAUUAGUUCACCGUCAAAUUAAUAUGGGGAAUAGGAAACUUGAUUUAGUGACACAUUUUCUUUCUAACCAUUCAUCGUAAACUUUUUUUUUAAUCAUUAACUCCACCAUUUAAAAAAAAACAACAUAUCUAUUAAUAUUAUCCAAUAAUGCGCUUACACGGCCAAUCGACCCACAAAAUAGAAGAAGAAAACAAAAACGACACCAAACCGGAGAUCUGGACAUGGUGGAUAUCAGCAGCACCGGCAGCACCUCCAAGCUCCGGUGAUAACAAGAGGCCCUUCUUGCUGCUCCAUUGCGACUCGAGUGACAUGGCCGAAGUUAUCGAUUAUUGCCACAAAUAUCCAAAGCCAACAACAGAGCCGACCCAAAAAUCCCUUUUCUGAAAAGGUUGAAACCGAAGAAAACCGAACCUCUAAUUUUAGUCCCUAACCAAGCAACAAGAAACCUAAUUCAAACCUUCACCUCCUACACCAUUCUCAACACAAUCCUCCUCCAAACAGUCAUAGCUUUGAUUCGGUCAAACAAAAACCAGAUGUGGCGGAGAUUAGAGCAAAUGGCUCAAACAAACCCUAGCCGCCGUUAUCCUCACUCGGACAUCUCAUAUCUAUUCGGAUCUGCUGCUAAUCGUCACGACAAGCAGUGACCCCAGCCCCACCAAUCUUCUUUUGACUUCCACCACCCGUCGUAGGAGCCCCUCUGACAAUCGAGCCGAGAGUUUCCUUAUGUCCUGUAGCGUCCCGUCCCGGACGUCUCGGCGUCCGGCGACCAUUGACGCUCGUUCGUGCCUCCUCCCGGCCGAACCUCCAUAUUUUUCGCGAUUUAACAUAGAAUUGCCUUUACGAGGCCUAAUUCUAUAAUCGCUUUCUUUUUACCCAGCGGAAGUCUUUCUACACUUGGUUUAAUUCCAACCAAUCUUUGUACCGGUUUUAUCGUCCUUGUCCCUAAGACUUAGAUCUUCCUUAACUCGGUCAAGACAUGCAUAUUGUUCGCUAACCAUUCUAAGUCUAACGAUUGCAUAUUCCUUUAUCCUUAAUCCAACGGCCGAUUCUCAAACGUCUAUCUUAACUAAUAAGUAAGAUUUGUUACAUACCUUGGCCAACAUGCGGAUGCGAUUCCUCUUCUAUCCGUCCAUUGAUCCUUCCCUUAGCCAUUUUGUUGCCUUAUUCCAUUCGUACAACGAUCCUUAACCAAUCAUGUAUUGAUGGACCAAUCUCUAUCGUUACUUAGCCAUACAUCCAACCAACCCCACUGGUCUAAGUCCCUACGAUAGAGAUUGGGGAUCGUACGUUUCCCUUGGUUCACGGUGGCCGAAUCAAGCUCUCGGCUCAUUGGUCCAUCCGUCCUCCAAACAUACGCCCCUUUGGUUUCAUUGUGGAAGAUCAAUGUUUCCGAUCCGGUCGUUUAUCACUACGACCACCUACGGUUUAUUAACCGUUUACCCGUCCGGUCCAUGGUGGUCGGUAAAGCCUUCGGCUUAUCGAUCCAUCCAUGCGAUCUGAACAAUAUCAUUAUCUCACCCAAGGGUCCGUGGAUUCAUCCAUCGGAUUAUCGUAGGCUAGCCCAUGAAAUCAUUCGUCCGUCGGCCUUUGGUUUGCUCGCGGGUCCAACAUCUGUUUUGUCCACCGGUUCUCACCGUGGACUUUCCUGUUGGUUAUCCGUCGAGUCACCAUUGGUCUUACUGAUUUCUAAUCGGUUUCACCAUUGGCCAUGGCGAUUGAUACAUAAAGACGGCCACGAUAUUAGAUUCUUGCAUGGUGAACCACGUCACUUACCCAUUCUCGGUGCUUACUCCCUUUACCGGUGAGAUUGCAUCCAUGGGCGACCCUUGGGUGUGUUCGGUUGCACUUACCCUCGUGCUUCCUCGAACACCUUUGAAAGACCCCGGUCCGGACUGCCUAAGUCCGGAGAGGUUCUCUUCGACCAAACCACUAAGUGAUCCGAUCCUUAGUCAAAUUUUAGGGCCAUUUCCUUAAGACAAUCCGUCUUACGAUAUUCUGAGAUUCGUUACUUAGAGUCAAUAUGCGAUAUUAGAGUAAACAAAGAAUCGAAUACUUUAUUAGAUAUUUAAAAGGAUUCGAUACAACUUAUGAGUUUGCAUAUAAGCUAUUACAAGUCAUAUAACCGAUCCUAUUCUAUCCGAUUCAUCACCACCCAUCUUCCCGGCCUUGAGUCUCUCACGCCUAAGCCAAGUCCUUCCCACGAUCACCAUCCUUUCCUGAAAGUCAAAGAGGCAUAAGUAUCCGUUUUACUUAUUAUAUGCAAGUUCAUGCAAUGCUCUCUAAGCCUUUUAACCACCCGGAACGAAGAACAGAUCGGAGAGUGGAAGUAUACGCAUCAGUUCGGCCGAUUCACGGUAGAUCUUAACAGAUCCGCCGAGCCGCAUCUCCAUUUCAACCGAUCCGCCAUUCAAACCAAGUUUAUGCAUGAUAUGAAUGAUCCCCUGAUACUACAAUAUCACCCUAUUCGUUCCGGACUUCUUCUAAGUCAUCGGAACAAUUCCUAGGCUAGAUCAUACGUAUCAUAUCUCCUUAGGUUCGGACACAAAGUCUAGAACCGUCUCACCUUCGAUCGCACCGAUCGUAACUCUUUCUUAAGUGUUUUCUCUCAAGAUGUUCUCCGAGAGUUUCUGUAUUUUUCUCUAAGUUUUUCCGUGUCCGAAAUCGCCCCAAAUGCCUUGUAUUUAUAGAGUUUCGUUUGGAAAACCGCUUCCCAACCGUUUCCCUAGAAGGCACCCUUUCGUUCCAUAACUCUGUUGUAACCGUCAACCGCAACCGCCCAACCGCUCCUACGUAACCGCCCAACCGUCCAAUAGUUAUCUGAGCUUAGCUGAGCUACCCGGCAGCUGGUCGAGCUAGCUGAGCUACUCAACAGUUACCCGAGCUUAGCUGAGCUACCCGGCGGUACUUCGAGCUUAGUUGAGCUGUACGGGAGCUGGUUUGGCUAUUUAGCGUGCAUUAUUCCCCUUCUCCGAGCUGAUGGGCAGCUCUUAUCUAGACUUGUCCGAGUUUCUCCUCCUUUUCUCGGACCAAGUCUCAUCCGACGAUCCUAUCGAGGAUCGCGGGCGUUACAAGUCUCCCCCCCUUGAAUGGGAUUCGUCCCCGAAUCCGUCUCAAGUUGAUCUUUACCCAUCUCUUUAAACCACUUAGGAAAAUCAGCCUUCAUUUUAUUUUCGGUUUCCCAAGUAGUUUCUUCGCGGCCUCCACAAUCCCAUAACACUUUUAUCAUGCUAAUUCUUUUCCGCCUUGUCCCCUUUUCCAUUCGAUCAACAAUCCGAAUUGGAUUUGCUUCCACCGUUAAGUUUUCUUUUAACUCCGAAGGAACAUCUUCUACUCGCUCCUCGUGUUCACUUAGGCAUUUCCUUAGUUGUGAAACGUGGAAAACCUUGUGAAACGCAUCUAACUUUGGCGGAAGUUUGUGUUUGUAUGCCACAACCCCUACUCGUUCGAUCACCUUGUAUAGGCCAACAUACCUUGGACUCAACUUUUUCCUUGUUGAAAAUCGUCCUUUGCCCUUAUACGUUACGACCUUAAGAUACACCAAGUCUCCUACUUGGAAUUCCAACUCCUUACGACGCUUAUCCGCAUAGCUUUUCUGUCGGUUUUGGGCCUCCUUUAGUUUGAUCUUUAGGAACUUCAUCUUUCGGUGGUUUCAUCCAUAAUCUUUGGACCAAACAGCAUGCGUUCGCCCACCGGUGUCCAACACAGCGGCGUCCGACAUGCUCAUCCGUACAACGCCUCAUAAGGUGACAUGCCAAUACUAGCUUGGUAGCUAUUGUUAUAGGCAAACUCCACCAACCUUAAGUACUUCUCCCAAUUCCCACCCCAAUCCAAGACACAUGCACGUAACAUGUCCUCGAGGGUUUGAAUCGUUCGUUCGGAUUGCCCAUCCGUUUGCGGGUGGUACGCCGUACUUAGGUUCACCCUCGUCCCUAAAGCUUUUUGAAAAGCCUUCCAGAAAUGCGAUGUGAACCUUGUAUCCCGAUCCGAUACAAUGCUUACCGGCACUCCAUGUAAUCGGACUAUCUCGUCGAUAUAUCUUGCGGCUAUAUCUUCGGCUCCAUCCGUUUUGGAGAUUGCUAUGAAGUGUGCGGACUUAGUCAAUCUGUCCACCACCACCCAAACCACAUUAUGCUUAGACUUUAUCCCCGUAGGCAACCCGGUAACAAAGUCCAUCGUUACAUGGUCCCAUUUCCAUUCGGGCAUGGGUAAGUUUUGUACUAACUCACUUGGUACUUGAUGUUCCGCCUUAACAAGUUGGCACGUUGAACACUUACCCACCCAUGCGGCUACAUCCUUCUUCAUCCCGACCCAAUGGUAAUACCUUUUUAGGUCUCGGUACAUCUUAUUGGACCCGGGGUGAAUCGAGAACUUUGAUUGGUGCGCUUCCUUAAGGAUUUCUCCCUUCAAACCCUUGUCAUUCGGCACACAUACACGACCGUUCACCACUAUGGUACCAUUGUUCGAGGUUUGGUACUCCAUUUUAUUAUUCUUCGCCCAAGUUUUCAACUCCUCGUCCGUUUCUUGGGCCAAACGAAUUCUACUAAGUAGAUCGGCUUGAUCGGCCGCACCUAAACCCAAUGGUUCAAGAUCCUUGGAUAAUGCAUUUAAAUGCAAUGUCCCCAUCAUGUUAACCAAGUCCACUUGGUUUUUCUCCGCUUCUACGUCGAAACGUCUCCUACUUAAGGCAUCGGCGACUUGAUUUGCCUUUCCCGGAUGAUAGGCAAUAUCUAAGUCGUAAUCCGCCACAAACUCCAUCCAUCUUCUUUGCCUUAGAUUUAACUCCGGCUGGGUGAAUAUGUACUUAAGACUCUUGUGGUCGGUGAAGAUUUGUACUUUGGCUCCGUAAAGAUACAAUCGCCAAAUCUUCAAGGCAAACACCACCGCAGCCAUUUCUAAGUCAUGCGUAGGGUAAUUUCCUUCGUGUUUACGCAAUUGCCUUGAAGCAUAAGCGAUUACACUACCCUUUUGCAUCAACACGCAUCCUAGUCCCGUGAUCGAUGCAUCCGUAUAGACCAUGUAAGUUUCACCUUCCUCCAGUAACACCAAUACCGGAGCGCACGUUAACAUUGCCUUUAACUCGGAAAAACUCUUCUCACAUUCCUCCGACCAUUGGAACUUAGUAUCCUUUCCUGUUAGUCGAGUCAUCGGUUGGGACAUACUCGCAAAGCCCUUCACAAACCUUCGGUAAUAACCCGCCAAACCGAGGAAACUUGUAACACCCGCGUCCCGCGAUCCUAAAGGGGGCCGGUUUGUUUUAGGAAAAAACUAGAUCAUGGUCGAGAAAGACCAAUGAAUAAGUUAACCCAAGGAAGAAAUGAAACGUUUAAGUCAUGAAAAGGGUAGAUGACAUAGACGACAUCGGGAUAAUCUAGUGAUCAUGAAGAAAUGAUCACGGAAAGAUUGGGAAUGGCGUAGUCAUGGCCAAGAAAACGGACCAAAAGACUUAGCCGGAAAGAACGCGAAAGAACGUUCGAGCUAAACCAGCUAGGUGAGCUGGACAAGCUGGAUGAACUAGCUAGCUCAGCUAGGUGAGCUAAACCAGCUGCAUGACUAGCUAGCUCAGUUAGGUGAGCUGACCGACAGCUCAACCGAGCUCGGUGAACUGAUCGAGUACUAACCCAGCUGGGUGGUCCGGUCAGCUGACACUCGAGCUGGUGGACUGUGGUAGCUCGGGAUGAAGAGGUGUAAGGUCGAGCGGUUACCGACGAACGGUUACCGUUGGCCAAAGGGUGGAUAAGGCCAAACGGUUACGAUCGGAAAGACGCAACCUUUCAAAAGGGUGCAACGAAUGGAUGUGAUGUUUCAGAAACACACCCAUUCGGCCCCUAUAUAAGGGAGGACGUCCAAGGGCCUCACAAUCAAUCCUCACACACUUCACAAUCACCACAACAAUCCAAAACAAGUCCCAAAACACUCUACGAAGUGUUGGUCGGAAAGGGGGUGCGGCUCGGCGAGUAUCUCCGGAAUCGGAAUGGAUUCUCGGAGCCUCGACCGAACUGAUGCGCAUGCUACCUCCCGAUCCAACGGUUCGAUAGAAUGUAUUGAGGGAUGGAUGGGAUGGACCGAUCGUCUUAGAGACGGAUCGGAUCGGACAAACUGAUCGUCGUACGGAUGGAUCGGAUCGGAGAAGAAGACGGAUCCGGAUAGACCGUCGCACAGACGGAUUGAUCGACCGGGAUAGGUGGAUCGAAAAUCGUGUUAACAAGUCGGAUCGACGUAUGACCGGAUAUGUGUACGAUCGGAUAAACGGAUAAAGGUUUAGAUCGGCGGAUUGAUCGAUCGUACCGAUCGGCGGGAUGACCGAUGGUACGUAUCGGAGAUCUUGUCGAGGGAACAUGGCGGAUUACAUGAUCGAGGAUUCAAUGGGAACCGCCGAAGGGUUUGACGACUUGAUUGAUGGUUCGGGUCGAUAGCUCGAUUAUGGGGUCGAUGGAUCGUCCGUUCUAUGAAUCAUAUCGUCGAGGGAAGGACACGAAAAGGAAAUGGAUCGGCAAAUCUAAGAUUGUCAAUAUGGAAGUAUUGACGAAUCCAAAGAUAGUCCGAUAGAUGAUAUGGUUAACGGGAAGUUAAUCGGGAAGGCGUAUAAGGGAAACGUGUUCGAAGAAGCACGAGGAUAAGUGCAACCGAACACACCCAAGGGUCGCCCAUGGAUGCAAUCUCACCGGUAAAGGGAGUAAGCACCGAGAAUGGGUAAGUGACGUGGUUCACCAUGUAAGGAUCUAAUAUCGCGGCCGCCUUCAUGUAUCAAUCGCCAUGGCCAAUGGUGAAAACCGAUUGGGAAUCGGUAACACCAAUGGUGACUCGACGGAUAACCAACAGGAAAGUCCACGGUGAGAGUCGGUGGACAAAACGGAUGUUGGACCCGCGAGCAACCCAAAGGCCGAUGGACGAAUGAUUUCAUGGGCUAGCCUACGAUAAUCCGAUGGAUGAAUCCACGGACCCUUGGGUGUGAUAAUGAUAUUGUUCGGAUCGCAUGGAUGGAUCGGUAAGCCGAAGGCGUUAUGACCACCAUGGACCGAACGGGUAAACGGUUAGUAGACCGUGGGCGGUCGUAGUAAUAAACGAUCGGAUCGGAAACAUGGAUGGUUCGAUAAGCCGAGGGCUUGAUCGUCCACCAUGAAACCGAAGGGGCGUACGUUUGGAGGACGGAUGGACCAAUGAGCCAAGAGCUUGAUUUGGCCACCGUGAACCAAGGAAAACGUACGAUCCCCAAUCUCUAUCGUAGGGACUUAGACCAGUGGGGUUGGUUGGAUGAAUGGCUAAGUAACGAUAGAGAUUGGUCCAUCAAUACACGAUUGGUUAAGAAUCGUUGUACGAAUGGAAUAAGGCGACGAGAAGGCUAAGAGAAGGAUCAAUAGACGGAUCGAAGAGGAAUCAAAUCCGCAUGUAGGCCAAGGUAUGUAAACGCAUCUAACUUAUUAGUUAAGAUAGACGUUUGGGAAUUGGCCGUUGGAUUAGGGGUACAAAGAAUAUGCAAUCGUUAGACUUAGAAUGGUUAGCGAACAAAUUGCAUGACUUGGCCGAGUUAAUGAUCGAUCUAAAGUCUAAGGGACAAAGAUGAUCAAACCGGUACAAGGGAUGGUUGGAAUUAGACCAAGGGUAUAAAGACUUCCGCUGUGUUAAGAGAUAAGGAUUAUAGAAUUAAGCCUCGUAAAGGCAAUUCUAUGUUAAAUCGUGAAAAAUAUGGAGGUUCGGCCGGGAAGUGGCGCGAACGUGAACCUUGGGUCGCCGGACGCCGAGACAUCCGGGACGGGGUCUCACAAGUUGGUAUCAGAGCAUGCUUGAUCCUAGGAUGGAUAAGUGCUCGGGAAAAUGUCAUGGUAAAUGACAACUAAAGGUGUAACUUAAAUGAUUGAGUCCUCGGGAAACCGAAUUAUGAACUUGAACAGUAGUGUUGGUGAGCCAGAAGGGAAUUGAGGCAAGAACGCGAUUACAUGCUUGGAAACCAAAAGAGUUUGCCAAGAUGAAUUGGUUAAGCCAAGAUGAUUACCCAAGGGGCAAGAACUACACGUGUAUCAAGUGGAUAAUUAUUCGGAGAGAAGGGCUGAUUAUAGAAGUUGAAAAUGUUAUGCUAAGUGUUUGGCGGAUAAGGAAGUUGAGGUGAAUGAGAUCGAUGUGCUUGAGGAAAGAUUACCCAAGGCAUGAUCGGGCACCAAGAUAUGACCCUUAUAGUCAAACGACUUAACAUAACGGGGAAAUAGGUAUUGAUCUAUUCGGAGAAUGGCCAAGAUCAAUAGAAAUUAGAUCUCGUCGGAAUUUGACGAAGAUCGGGAAAGACUUGAUCUAUUCGAUUGAAAAGAUGAAGGGGUAUUGACCGAGUCCGGUAAAGGGCCAAGGUCGGGAAUUAUUGACCAAGUCCGGAAAGGACCAAGGUCGGGAAUUAUUGACCGAGUCCGGUAAGGGACUAAGGUCGGGAAAAGUGACCGAGUCCGGUGGGGACCAAGGUCGGGAAAAUUAACCGAGUCCGUAUAGGACCAAGGUUGGGAAAUAUUGACCGAGUCUGAUUUGGACCAAGGUCGAAAAUUUGUUCUACUCGGGAUUGGACUAGGAUGGGAAACAUUUGAUCGCGUUCGGAAAAUGGAACAAGAUCGGGAAAAUAGAUUGAGUCCGGUAAUUGGACCAAGAUCGGGAAAAUGGAUCAAGUCCGAGAGAGGACCAAGAUCGGGAAACUUGAUCAAACUCGGAAAUAGAUAUUUGGUCAAGUAUGGAAUCUAAAGUCUUGGGAAGACUAAAGAUGGGGAAACGUUAAGGAGUAACGAAUUUUAAGGGGGGUAGACUUGUAACACCCGCGUCCCGCGAUCCUAAAGGGGGCCGGUUUGUUUUAGGAAAAAACUAGAUCAUGGUCGAGAAAGACCAAUGAAUAAGUUAACCCAAGGAAGAAAUGAAACGUUUAAGUCAUGAAAAGGGUAGAUGACAUAGACGACAUCGGGAUAAUCUAGUGAUCAUGAAGAAAUGAUCACGGAAAGAUUGGGAAUGGCGUAGUCAUGGCCAAGAAAACGGACCAAAAGACUUAGCCGGAAAGAACGCGAAAGAACGUUCGAGCUAAACCAGCUAGGUGAGCUGGACAAGCUGGAUGAACUAGCUAGCUCAGCUAGGUGAGCUAAACCAGCUGCAUGACUAGCUAGCUCAGCUAGGUGAGCUGACCGACAGCUCAACCGAGCUCGGUGAACUGAUCGAGUACUAACCCAGCUGGGUGGUCCGGUCAGCUGACACUCGAGCUGGUGGACUGUGGUAGCUCGGGAUGAAGAGGUGUAAGGUCGAGCGGUUACCGACGAACGGUUACCGUUGGCCAAAGGGUGGAUAAGGCCAAACGGUUACGAUCGGAAAGACGCAACCUUUCAAAAGGGUGCAACGAAUGGAUGUGAUGUUUCAGAAACACACCCAUUCGGCCCCUAUAUAAGGGAGGACGUCCAAGGGCCUCACAAUCAAUCCUCACACACUUCACAAUCACCACAACAAUCCAAAACAAGUCCCAAAACACUCUACGAAGUGUUGGUCGGAAAGGGGGUGCGGCUCGGCGAGUAUCUCCGGAAUCGGAAUGGAUUCUCGGAGCCUCGACCGAACUGAUGCGCAUGCUACCUCCCGAUCCAACGGUUCGAUAGAAUGUAUUGAGGGAUGGAUGGGAUGGACCGAUCGUAUUAGAGACGGAUCGGAUCGGACAAACUGAUCGUCGUACGGAUGGAUCGGAUCGGAGAAGAAGACGGAUCCGGAUAGACCGUCGCACAGACGGAUUGAUCGACCGGGAUAGGUGGAUCGAAAAUCGUGUUAACAAGUCGGAUCGACGUAUGACCGGAUAGGUGUACGAUCGGAUAAACGGAUAAAGGUUUAGAUCGGCGGAUUGAUCGAUCGUACCGAUCGGCGGGAUGACCGAUGGUACGUAUCGGAGAUCUUGUCGAGGGAACAUGGCGGAUUACAUGAUCGAGGAUUCAAUGGGAACCGCCGAAGGGUUUGACGACUUGAUUGAUGGUUCGGGUCGAUAGCUCGAUUAUGGGGUCGAUGGAUCGUCCGUUCUAUGAAUCAUAUCGUCGAGGGAAGGACACGAAAAGGAAAUGGAUCGGCAAAUCUAAGAUUGUCAAUAUGGAAGUAUUGACGAAUCCAAAGAUAGUCCGAUAGAUGAUAUGGUUAACGGGAAGUUAAUCGGGAAGGCGUAUAAGGGAAACGUGUUCGAAGAAGCACGAGGAUAAGUGCAACCGAACACACCCAAGGGUCGCCCAUGGAUGCAAUCUCACCGGUAAAGGGAGUAAGCACCGAGAAUGGGUAAGUGACGUGGUUCACCAUGUAAGGAUCUAAUAUCGCGGCCGCCUUCAUGUAUCAAUCGCCAUGGCCAAUGGUGAAAACCGAUUGGGAAUCGGUAACACCAAUGGUGACUCGACGGAUAACCAACAGGAAAGUCCACGGUGAGAGUCGGUGGACAAAACGGAUGUUGGACCCGCGAGCAACCCAAAGGCCGAUGGACGAAUGAUUUCAUGGGCUAGCCUACGAUAAUCCGAUGGAUGAAUCCACGGACCCUUGGGUGUGAUAAUGAUAUUGUUCGGAUCGCAUGGAUGGAUCGGUAAGCCGAAGGCGUUAUGACCACCAUGGACCGGACGGGUAAACGGUUAGUAGACCGUGGGCGGUCGUAGUAAUAAACGAUCAGAUCGGAAACAUGGAUGGUUCGAUAAGCCGAGGGCUUGAUCGUCCACCAUGAAACCGAAGGGGCGUACGUUUGGAGGACGGAUGGACCAAUGAGCCAAGAGCUUGAUUUGGCCACCGUGAACCAAGGAAAACGUACGAUCCCCAAUCUCUAUCGUAGGGACUUAGACCAGUGGGGUUGGUUGGAUGAAUGGCUAAGUAACGAUAGAGAUUGGUCCAUCAAUACACGAUUGGUUAAGAAUCGUUGUACGAAUGGAAUAAGGCGACGAGAAGGCUAAGAGAAGGAUCAAUAGACGGAUCGAAGAGGAAUCAAAUCCGCAUGUAGGCCAAGGUAUGUAAACGCAUCUAACUUAUUAGUUAAGAUAGACGUUUGGGAAUUGGCCGUUGGAUUAGGGAUACAAAGAAUAUGCAAUCGUUAGACUUAGAAUGGUUAGCGAACAAAUUGCAUGACUUGGCCGAGUUAAUGAUCGAUCUAAAGUCUAAGGGACAAAGAUGAUCAAACCGGUACAAGGGAUGGUUGGAAUUAGACCAAGGGUAUAAAGACUUCCGCUGUGUUAAGAGAUAAGGAUUAUAGAAUUAAGCCUCGUAAAGGCAAUUCUAUGUUAAAUCGUGAAAAAUAUGGAGGUUCGGCCGGGAAGUGGCGCGAACGUGAACCUUGGGUCGCCGGACGCCGAGACAUCCGGGACGGGGUCUCACAAAACUCCUAAUCUCGGUGGCAUUCUUUACCGUAACUUUAUUCAAUCCCUGAUAGUCAAUGCAUAGCCUAAAGCUACCAUCUUUUUUCUUUACAAACAAGACCGGUGCACCCCAUGGUGAACUACUUGGUCUAAUAAAUCCUUUUUCCAACAACUCCUCUAAUUGUUUCUUUAGCUCCGCCAUUUCCGCCGGUGCCAUCCGGUACGGAGCUUUAGAUAUCGGAGUUGUCCCCGCUUCGAGUUCAAUCAUGAAUGGGUCGGACCGGUCUGGUGGUAAACCACUCACGGCCUCAAACACAUCCGAGAACUCGUUUGCGAUCAGAAUGUCUUUCAACUCCGCAUUUGCCCCAACUUCGUGGGUUGUGAUUGUGGCUAUGUAUGCCUCACACCCUUUCUCGAGCAUCUUUUCCGCUUGGAUUGCCGAGAUUACUAAACUUCCCGAAGUUGUCCUUAUUCCUUGGAAUUUCAACAUUCCUUCCUCCCUCUCGAAUUGAAUCCGUCCUCGGUGGCAAUCAAUAUGUGUCUUAUACUUUCCCAACCAGUCCAUACCCAAAAUAACAUCGUAUUUCUUGAGUUGAACAACGAUUAAGUCCGUAGGCAUAUUGACACCGUUGACUACAACCGAGAUUUCCUGAACCACACCGGACGGAUACAUUGCUUGUCCGCCGGCGGCUAUAACCAUUCCAUAUUCGGUGUUUGGUUCUUUCUUGAACCCACCUUUUUCAACCAUCUCGGAACUCACAAAACAAUGUGUAGCUCCAUAAUCAAAUAAGGUGUGUGAUUCUACAUCACCUAUACACAAGGUCCCUACACAUUCCCCUAGAAUGCUGAGUACCCCAAUCCGUUUAUGCAUGAUGCGAUGCAAUUUACGAAUUAACAUAAAGAUCACAAGGACUUACCAGUGAUCGCCCUGAAGUUCCCGGCAUUGUUAGCAUCCUCCGACAGUUCGUAAACUCGCGGUGCUAUGGCCUGCCUCUUAGGCGGAGGCGGUAAUCCGUUUCCGCUACGGUUUGCCUUUUGUGCGGCUUGCUUUUCCACUUCCAGCUUCGGACACUCCCUCUUAAAGUGUCCCGCUUUCCCACAAUGGUAACAAGUCUUUGGUUCUUCAGCGAGAACUUUUGGUUGCCCCGAAUCCAUCCUUGGACAGUUUUGAAUCCCGUGGUCCUUACUUCCACACAGGCCACAUGCACCAAUGGCCUUCCAGCAAAUCCCACCAUGAUUCUUUCCACAAGUCAAGCAUUCUCCGCGCUUAGCACCCGACUUAGUGUCAUCCACCUUGUCCCAUUUCCUCUUCUUAUCCGCGGACUUGCUUGGUUGGCUAGAACGAUUCGGAAACUUCUCACGAUUCAUGAGUUUUUCUUCCUCAAUUCCGAUUUCGAUCAUAGCCGCCCUUUCCACCAAUUCGGAGACCGAAUUAAAGGUACGGAUUAAGCAAUGGUUACGGAUCUCCACCCUUAACCCACAGAUGAAACGGCGCACUUGAGACUGCUCAUCCUCGAGCUCUCUUCCCACGUAUCGCCUAAGGCGAUUGAACUCUUCAUCGUAUUCUCGCACCGUUCGGUUGCCUUGUAUCAAAUCCAAGUAGGCACACUCAAGCCGGUCCCAUGCUUCCGGAGGGAAAAAUUUAUUGUUAAACUCCUCCUCAAAGUUCGCAAAGGUUUGGAUUUGAUCACCCUUACGUUUCUCCACGGUGAGCCACCAAUUAUGUGCAUCCCCUUCCAAGAAGUGGAUUGCAAUGUCCUUCCGGUAAUCCUCCGGGCAUCGAGUGGAGUUAAAGUUUCUUUUGAGCCGAGUCCUCCACUCCAUCGCCACGAUCGGGUCGGAACUCCCCGUGAAGUGACUUGUUCCCAACUUCGAGACGUGCUGGAGUAAACUCAAGUAGUCUCCCCUCUUCCUUGAAAAGUUCGUAGGCAGAUUGACUUCAACAAUCUCCAAAUCUACGUCCGCAUCCGCGUCUGUUUUGUUCUCCUUCACUUGCACCACAGGAUCCGGUACAAGUGCCUUAGUCAAUGCGGUCAUUUGUACCAUCAUAGCUUUCAUCAUUUCCCAUUGUUCUUGGGCCGAUGGAAGUGCGUUCGGAUUCUCCUUCCCAUCCGUUGCACAACUGUUCUCCGGAGUUUGAUGAACCGGAGACUUUUGUCCAGCCACAGGUCCGGCCGGAUUUGUCCCAUCAAGCAUUGCUUCGACACUUGUUUCCUUGGUAACUUGUGUCUCCUCGACAACCAACGUCUCCUCUACGAUGUCCUUACCCUUAUCCUUCUUACUCUUUCCCGUUUUGUUGCUCUUACCCAUCUGCGAGAAAUUUCAAAGUUAGUUAUGGUAACUCAUAGUAAAUCGCAAGAGAGUAAGAAACAACUACCGUGAGGACCCAUAAGCCGAUGAGUGGUGAUUCCCAAAACCCGCACUAAUGGUCCUAGAACCAAGCAUGCUCUGAUACCAAUUUGAAAGACCCCGGUCCGGACUGCCUAAGUCCGGAGAGGUUCUCUCUGACCAAACCACUAAGUGAUCCGAUCCUUAGUCAAAUUUUAGGGCCAUUUCCUUAAGACAAUCCGUCUUACGAUAUUCUGAGAUUCGUUACUUAGAGUCAAUAUGCGAUAUUAGAGUAAAUAAAGAAUCAGAUACUUUAUUAGAUAUUUAAAAGGAUUCGAUACAACUUAUGAGUUUGCAUAUACGCUAUUACAAGUCAUAUAACCGAUCCUAUUCUACCCGAUUCAUCACCACCCAUCUUUCCGGCCUUGAGUCUCUCACGCCUAAGCCAAGUCCUUCCCACGAUCACCAUCCUUUCCUAAAAGUCAAAGAGGCAUAAGUAUCCGUUUUACUUAUUAUAUGCAAGUCCAUGCAAUGCUCUCUAAGCCUUUUAACCACCCGGAACGAAGAACAGAUCGGAGAGUGGAAGUAUACGCAUCAGUUCGGCCGAUUCACGGUAGAUCUUAACAGAUCCGCCGAUCCUCCGCCGAGCCGCAUCCCCAUUUCAACCGAUCCGCCAUUCGAACCAAGUUUAUGUAUGAUAUGAAUGAUCCCCCGAUACUACAAUAUCACUCUAAUCGUUCCGGACUUUUUCUAAGUCAUCGGAACAAUCCCUAGGCUAGAUCAUACGUAUCAUAUCUCCUUAGGUUCGGACACAAAGUCUAGAACCGUCUCACCUUCGAUCGCACCGAUCAUAACUCUCUCUUAAGUGUUUUCUCUCAAGAUGUUCUCCGAGAGUUUCUGUAUUUUUCUCUAAGUUUUUCCGUGUCCAAAAUCGCCCCAAAUGCCUUGUAUUUAUAGAGUUUGUUUGGAAAACCGCUUCCUAACCGUUUCCCUAGAAGGUACCCUUUUGUUCCAUAACCGUCUGUUGUAACCGUUAACCGCAACCGCCCAACCGCUCCUACGUAACCGCCCAACCAUCCAAUAGUUAUCCGAGCUUAGCUGAGCUACCCGGCAGCUGGUCGAGCUAGCUGAGCUACUCAACAGUUACCCGAGCUUAGCUGAGCUACCCGGCGGUACUUCGAGCUUAGUUGAGCUGUACGGGAGCUGGUUUGGCUACUUAGCGUGUAUUAUUCCCCUUCUCCGAGCUGAUGGGCAGCUCCUAUCUAGACUUGUCCGAGUUCCUCCUCCUUUUCUCGUACCAAGUCUCAUCUGACGAUCCUAUCGGUCUUUCCCUUAUACGCCUUUCCGAUUAACUUCCCGUUAACCAUAUCAUCUAUCGGUCUAACUUUGGAUUCGUCAAUACUUCCAUAUUGACAAUCUUAGAUUUGCUGAUCCAUUUCCUUUUCGUGUCCUUCCCUCGACGAUAUGAUUCAUAGAACGGACGAUCCAUCGAUCCCAUAAUCGAGCUAUCGAUCCGAACCAUCAAUCAAGUCGUCGAACUAUCCGUCCAUCCAACUCCUUAAUCGAAUUGUCGUUCCAUCGAUCCGAUCCAUCGAUCGAUACCAUGAUACGAUCAUUUGGUCGACCCGACCAUCUUACCCGAUCCGUCCCGUCUCUCCGACGAACGAUCCAUCCGUUCCGAUCCGUCUCUCCGACAAUCGUUCCGAUCAAACCAUCCAAACAUUCCAUCGAACCGUUGGAUCGGGAGGUAGCAUGCGCAUCAGUUCAGUCGAGGCUCCGAGAAUCCGUUCCGAUUCUGGAGAUACCUGCCGAGCCGCACCCCCUUUCCGACCAACAACUUCGUGGCAUGUUUAGGACUAUUUUCGGAUUGGGUUUUUGAUUGUGAAGUGUGUGUGGAUCAUUGUGAAGCCCUUUGGAUGUCCACCCCUUAUAUAGGGCCGAAUGGGUGCCUUCCCGAAGAAGCACAUCCGUUCUUUGCACCCUUCCGAAGGGUUGCAUCUUUUCGAUCGUAACCGCUCGGCCUUAUCCAUCCUUUGGCCAACGGUAACCGUUCGUCGAUAACCGCUCGACCUUACACCUCUUCAUCCCCGAGCUACCAUAGUCCACCAGCUCGAGUGUUAGCUGACCGGACUACCUAGCUGGGUCAGUACUCGAUCAGUUCACCGAGCUCGGUUGAGAUGUCGGUCAGCUCACCUAGCUGAGCUAGCUAGUCCUCCAGCUGGUUUAGCUCACCUAGCUGAGCUAGCUAGUUCGUCCAGCUUGUCCAGCUCACCUAGCUGGAUUAACUCGGACUCUUUUGUCCGUUCUUUCCGGCUAAGUCUUUCGGUCCGUUUUCUCGGCCUUGACUACGCCAUUCUCAAUCUUUCCAUGAUCAUUUUUCCAUGAUCACUAGAUUAUCGCGAAACCGUCUAAGUCAUCUACCCCUUUCAUGACUUAAACGUUUCAUUCCUUCCUUGGGUUAACUUAUUCAUUGGUCUUUCUCGACCAUGAUCUAGUUUUCCCUAAAAUAAACCGGCCCCCUUUAGGAUCGCGGGACGCGGACGUUACAUGUCCCCUCCUCCGGAAUCCUUAACCAGUGGUGGUACAAUGAGGAGAAAUCACGAGAUCGUCGGGAAGUUCGCUAAAACUAGCAUCCGAAGGCGGAUCAUCCACACCGCAUCACCGUUGGAGAAAAAUAACCAUCACCAACUGAUUGAACCGCUUGCCUCAUCAUUGACGUUGAAGAUCUGAAACGAAACAGAAAAAAACAAAGCUUCUAUAGAUCUACUUUUAGGAGAUAGAAUCGAGGGUUUUUUGCUGGGAACGAUGUCCUCUAUAUUUUUUCUUUAUUUACUUCGUUACAUCUACUCCACGAAAACUCUUUUUAGAAAUAAUAGCUUUUGAGUAAUAUAAAAAGAGAAAAUUUCAAAGAAAGACAAGGGUCUCAUGGGGUUCUUAUGACUAUCUCAAAGUGUCUCAUUUGAGAAUCCCUCCUAACUCCCUCUCUCUAUCUCUUUUUUUUUUUGUUUUUUAACUGUAAGAAACCCACUAAAGAACCUUCCAAUGGAGAUGCUCGAAUUGUGCGUCUGCUGGCUCUGGUGGAACCCACAACCCCGGAGCUAUGCCUCCUCUAUGCUCAUGCUUUGAUUUUGUUUGCGUUUGUUGUGUACCACCCGAGGUUGUUGGAUUUUCUCCGAUCAUAUUUUUCUUAUUCCCUUUGUGAAUAAGACAACAUUAGAACAUUGUUAAGGUCGAUGGUGGCUUGGUUUCAGCCAAGAAGUGGUGGUUGAUUUGCCUUGCUCAUCAUUUUUUUUUGGGUUUCUUCGGAUCUUCAGAGCAGUUUUAGAUCCAGUUCGUGAAAGUAUUUUUGGUCACUUUUGACAAGUUUGCUCAUCAAUUUUUGUUGGAUGUUAGUGAUUCUGCUUUGUUUUGUUCUCUUGAGUUUUUGGUGCAUAGUGUGUGACAAAGUUUCGAUUUGUGGUUUUGUUCAUUCGGAUGAGAAUUCUUCACUGAGCCGCCCUCUACUAGUCAUUAUCUGCGUUUUUCUGAUAUGUGGUUUUGGCUCCAAGGCAAAGCAGCGUGUUUGAUUUUCAGGUCUUCUCUUGGAAGGACUUAACCCAUCUCUUGUUUGUAGGUGGUCAAGAUCAGGUCUACGAGUGUCCGCGGGUAAGACUUGUUGAUCCUAUUUGGAAAAUAUUCAGUCGUUCUCUCAAGGUUUAUCCUUGAACCCUUGUCAUCUCUAGUGUUUUGAUUUCUCGGGGUGGUCGUUGUGGAGUUGUUUCGGGUUAUGUUUGCGUUGUUGUCACACGUUUGUUUCUUCCUUUGUUGUUCUAGCUACGAGUUUGAGUUCUACCGUCGUUCGGGUUGCCUCGCCUCCCAGAAGCUUCCUAGUUCUUGGCUCUCCGUCUUUUUUCUUUUGUUGCAGCUUUGGCUUUACCGAAUUCUAUACAAAAGUUUGAGUUAUGAUGUUCGUUCCAGUAUAUCAAUUUUAAUGCUUUGAUCCAUUAUCUUUACCUUUAAUUUUUUUAUUUUGCUCCAAUUUCUUUGUUUUCCUUGUUUCCUUCUUUUGGGCGUUACCUUCCAAAGAUUUUUUUAUUUUUUUUGGGAUUAUAUUUCUCUCUUUUGGGUUUUAGGGUGCGGAGAUUUCUUCAUUUUCUUUCAGCUUAGUUUAUUGUACCUUAAAUCUUUCUGAUUAUUUAUCAAGGAGAACACGAAAAAAAAAUUAUUCGGAGGUCUGCCACCAUAUGCGCCACCUAAAACUUUAAGAGCAUUUUUGAAAAUAAAUAUUUUCUGAAAUAUUGUUGAUAGGGGAUAUAUUUGAAAAAUGGUAUUGUAAAAGCUUUUAAACUAAAAGGGGAUGUUGUUGUUACCCUAGAGCUUUUAAAUUCUGACAUAACAUAAGCCGUUCCUAUUGGCUAUUGAUAUUAUCUUGUUAGUGAUAUUUUAAAAUAUGAUUCAAUUGAUUACAAACAAUUACUUGCAUUGUAUUAGUCUCUAUAUAUCUAUGAAAUCGUAGAACCAAUAGAACGACAAACUCAAUAGAAAUGACUUUUUAUUAAACACCAAAAAUGAUUAUUUGCUAGAUGAAUAAAGUUCCUCUAAUUUAGUUAGUAAUUUAAUUUUAAAGGGGAAAUUUCAAAAAAAAAAAAAAUACCCCAAAUAUUUUUAAUUUGGAUGUUUAAUACCUAAUAUUUUUGGUUGGAAUAAAAUACCUCAUUUAAAUAUUAUUGGUCUAAACACAUUAUUUAAAUUAUUUGUGGAUGGAAACCCGUACGUAAUCUAACAACCGUUAACUGGUGUUACAUAAUCAUUUAACGAUGUUAAAUCAUAACUUGAUAUAUUUAAAUAUAUAGAGACUAAUAUAUACUUAAGAAUUUCCUAGAAACCUCACAACUUUGUUUCUUGUAUACAAUUGCAAAUGAUGAUAAUUUCAAGCGAAUUUAGGUUCUUGAUAUCUAUGUGUCAUAUUUCUCUCAAAACACAUCACAGCAAAAUAGUGUUAGUUCCAUAUUUUCGUUCCAUUUAACUUUUACCUAAUUCAAAACACAUUAAUGGUUACGUGAACGUCUAAAUUCUGACAUCCACUUAUAUGCAUAACAUUUUUUUUUUCUUUUCGUCCUUCUCAUAAAUUAAUAAUAUAUGCAUGGAAAAAUCUUUCUCCAAAAUUUUGUUAUCCCACCUAACCUUCUAGAUAAUGAGUUUGAUUGGUGAACAAAAAUAAAGUAUUACAAGUUGUACAGUUUUUAUUUUUACCGAUCACAAAAACUUUAUCAAAAACGUUACUAAAAGUUUUACUCUUACCUUUUUUGUACAGCUUUCUCGUUCAAUUCUUUUAUACAGCUUAGCACUAUUUCGGUAAAGCUUACAGCUCCAGCUAACAGCUAAAAAAUUUGUACAGCUUUUGGUUACCAAUCAUACCUAAUAUUUACAAUAAGCAUGAAAAGGAUAUAACAAAAAUUGACUGUGUCAAAGAAAAAAAGCAAGGUUUCUUGGCCACGUCUGAAAAUGCGGGAAAAGGCCUUUGGGCCGUGAAAGUGAAACUUAUCAUCACUAUUUUAGUAUUUUCUUAUCAUCACUAGAUCGCUUCACUUCAUGGGUGAUACUUUAUCAUCACUAUUUUAGUAUUUUCUUGUAAUUUUAAAUUGCAUGCUCUCUCUUGGACUUGGUCCGCUAAUCACUUUACGAGGUCAUACCCAUUUGGACCCUAGUCCCUCUAGUCUCAAUAUCAUGCAAUCAGCUAUGUGAAUAGUAGUGGCGAGUAGAACUCGAACUCCUAUAUCGGUAUAUGUAUAGUGUUACCAUUACCAGUUUGUUUGUUUUUUUUAAAAUCACAAGUCGCUUGUCUUAAUCUCACAAAGUAAUUUCUAUACAUAGAUAGAAUAAACAAUGAUGUAACAAAUUAGCCCCAAAAAAGUGCUAAGAAAAUCACUAUUGAGUCAAAUGCAAGUAGCAAGUGGUACUGUGGUACUGUGGUAGAUACAUGACUACACCCAGUGACUUGGAUAAUAUUAUAGCCAAGCAAUUUUUUCAGGCAAGAAUAUUCGUAUUCACGAUAGCCAAGCAACACGUUUGCACCCCUUAUGCUACUUACUCUUGUUCAGUGUAUAGUUUUGUCUUUAUCCCUCUGUCGGCAGAGAAUAGAAGAAGGAUUCUUAACAAGUAUCAAUAGUGGACGACUUUUCUGUCCAAAUAAUAAUAACAACAUAUUUACAUAACAAUCUAAAUACAUAACAAUCUGAUAUGAUAAUAAUGUUUCAGUAAAGGAAUUCUAAAUAUCUAGAAGUUUAUGAAUGCGCUGUGUUUAUAGAAAUAUUAAAAAACUAGUGUAGUUUCCAUCUACGUUGAUUCAUAUUUUAGUUACAAUGAAUCCAACAACGGACCAUAAGGGGCCCGACGCAACACGUAUAAUAAAACUCUGAUACUUAUCUUCUUACUACUUUGUUUCUAUUAUGAUAAAUUUCCUUUAACUUUUUUCUUUUUUUUUUUUUUUUUUUUUUUUUUUUUUUUUUUUUUUAAUUUCCUUUAACUUUAGUUUUGAUAAAAUAUUAAUUGCCUUCUUUUUAUUCUACUACGGAGUAAUUUUUUGACUUUUCUCAUUCCCUAUCCUCUUCAAUUUCUAUAAAUAGAGGGCAUGCAGCGUAACAUUCUACUCAUCACUUAAUUAAUUAACAUACUAAGAGAGUUAUUAGAACUUGAAAAAAAAUGGCUUCCAAGGCUUUGAUUCUGUUAGGGCUCUUCGCAGUUCUUAUCGUCGUCUCCGAAGUGUCUGCCGCAAGGCAGUCGGGUACCUAAACUUAUUUAAUACAUUUCAGUCUUAAAAUAAACAAGAUAUAUGUUCGUGAGGCAUAUCAAACUUUAACUAACGUAAAAAAAAAAAAAAAAAUUUUUUUAACUAACGUACCAUUUGAUAAAUUAUCCAACUAUUUAUCAGAGCAUACUUCACCUAAGUGAUGUGGAAGCCCUAGUAAGUUUUGUGUAAAUUGUGUUUCGAACGUAUAUAUAAAAACUAAAGUUUCGAGUUUAUGUACCUAUUUAAGAAAAUAAUUUAAGCUGGGAAACAAAAUUGAAAUCAGGAAGAGGAAUUCAUAUUUGAUGUUCUUAAAAAUGUAUUUGAAAUUAAAUAACGUGUUUUGUUUUGGGCAGGCAUGGUGAAGCCAGAGAGUGAGGAAACUGUGCAACCUGAAGGACAUGGUGGUGGCCACGGAGGACAUGGUGGUCACGGAGGAGGCCACGGACAUGGAGGACACCACGGAGGAGGGGGCCACGGACUUGACGGAUACGGAGGUGGACACUACGGAGGAGGAGGACACUACGGAGGAGGAGGAGGCCACGGACACUACGGAGGAGGAGGAGGAGGCCACGGACACUACGGAGGAGGAGGAGGCCACGGACACUACGGAGGUGGAGGACACCACGGAGGAGGAGGCCACGGGCUUAACGACGAAC